GAUGAACGCUGGCAGCGUGCCUAACACAUGCAAGUCGAACGGAGUCCAGCCUUUAAGACCUUCGGGUCAAAGAGGGGAAGACUGAGUGGCGGACGGGUGAGUAACACGUGGGCAACCUGGCUCAUAGAGGGGGAUAACAGAGAGAAAUUUCUGCUAAUACCGCAUAAGCACACACUGCCGCAUGGCAGAGGGUGAAAAGAGAAUCGCUAUGAGAUGGACCCGCGUCUGAUUAGCCAGUUGGCAGGGUAAGAGCCUACCAAAGCGACGAUCAGUAGCCGAUCUGAGAGGAUGAACGGCCACAUUGGGACUGAGACACGGCCCAAACUCCUACGGGAGGCAGCAGUGGGGGAUAUUGCACAAUGGGGGGAACCCUGAUGCAGCGACGCCGCGUGAGUGAAGAAGUAUUUCGGUAUGUAAAGCUCUAUCAGCAGGGAAGAUAAUGACAGUACCUGAAUAAGAAGCCCCGGCUAACUACGUG
rnacentral:rRNA from 1 species